UGUCUGGUUUCCCCAAGUUGUUUUCUCAAACUCCUAAUUUGUGUUAUUGACUAAUUCACUUUGAAAUGAACAGUUUCUGCCUUAGAACUAGAUUUUGUGAUUUCCUGUCUUACAGUGACUGUGUUUCCAAGCUUGCAAGCUCCCUGAGAACAAGAAUCAACCAUUUAUUUGUGUGCCCUUCGUGGAGAGUAUAAAAAUAAGCUGCUGUCCCGACCAAUGUCCAUCAGUGAACUGGUGCAGAUCUAGAACCAGUGAACACAGCAAUUCAGAGUUUGGAGACUUUCUUAUUUAGCAGUGUGAUAUUGCAACAGCAGCGAAGCAUUCACCUUGGGCUUGUUUCGUUGAAAAGGGAAUAAAUCAGAUUGGGUGCUGUUGAGUUCUUGUGUUGAAUUCCAUGUGGCACCAGCUGCAUACAAGCCACACACAGUAGGGCCACACAUCAGCCUGUAGGAUCUUCACAUUGGACAGUUUGUGAAGUACCAUACCAGAGAACCUAUGAUGGAAACCAGCAUGCUACAAGUAUUUUCCGGCACUUGUAGAUUGAGACACACCACAGGUUUGAAUACUUUAAUAGCCAUGUUUUUCUUUCCUAUCCCUGUAUAAAAAAAAAAAACAAAACGGAAGCAUGAACAUAAAUGUGCACUCAAUUCAUAUGACAUAUGUAACCCGGAUGUUACCUGGUAUGUUAGCUUUCUGUGCUAUAACAAAAUACCUGAGAAAAUCAAUUUAAAAAGAGCAAAGACUUAUUUGGACUGAUAGUUUUGGAGGUUUCCAUUGGUGGUGA
rnacentral:lncRNA from 1 species